rnacentral:tRNA from 1 species
GGGGCCGUAGCUCAGUUGGGAGAGCGCAGCGUUCGCAAUGCUGAGGCCGGGAGUUCGAUUCUCCUCGGCUCCACCA